ensembl:lncRNA
GUUGCCAUCCAGAAGUUGCACACUUGCUGAGUGUAUGCUGAGACAAUGAGUGAAAAUAGAAAAGUUUUUAUAUAGCUGAUUGGAAACUUUUUUGCAAUAUAUUUUUCUAUCAAAAAAUCAAUUUAUCCAAGCAGAUGGUUUCUGUGAAGCAUUUUGUUUUAAUGAAGUUUCAGCAGGGAUCUUUCUUGGGUUUAAAGUAGAACUUCUACCUGCAAGUACAGAUGUGAAAGCAGAAAAGUGAGUAGUUGGUAACUUAUCUCUCCCUGUCCUCACCUGAUUGGAAAGGUGGCAGGUCCAGAUUGUGCCUCUGCCUCAUUUGGUGCCGUUACAAUCUGCUUGCAGGCCAGGAUAUAUCACCCAUUACAACUUUUACUCAGCCAGCUGAAGAACGGAAGCUGAAUCCAGGCUUUCCUGAACCGAUGGGUGAGUUUGGGAGAAGGAGGGGGAUUUUUCUGUCCCCAAAAUGUUAGAAAUCAUGGGGUAAAUCUAGGUAUCAAUGUUGCAUAUGCUAUUUCAGGAUUAUGUCUCUGGUCCAGGCCAUACCUAACUGUUCAUUCUCCUUCCAUGCUUAAUUGCUCUUCUACUGCACGUGGGUAUAAGACAUCUGGGGUGCAGGUGCAUCUGCUGCCCCUUGCUGUGUGCAGAGGAUUCUUCACCUGGCAGCAAGUUCCUUGGGCUGCCAGCAAACACACACCUCACAGCAUGAGAAGCAAGAGGAUUAUUACCAAAUUAGGAGACAGGAUUGCUGACGAGGUCCGCAGGGAUACCAUGAUUCCCUGGGUUGUUUUUUGAAACUAAUUCAAGUCCACAUUUCUGUAGAUGUGUCCCAGCCCUCUGUUCGCCUUUCUGCCAUUCUGCAUACUGAACAGUGACCUUCACACUAAGACGUGCUUCAUUUUUAUUACACCAAGUACACCUAAGCAACAAAAUGAAGCCAUUUACUUUCAUGUUCAGGUUUUCCUAAAUGGGCUGCUUACGAAAAAAAUAAACAGCUGAGAAAAAAAAGAUAAUGAAUUUAAUCCAAAAAAAAGAUAAUGAAUUUAAUCCAAAAAAAAGAUAAUGAAUUUAAUCCAAACACAAGAAAGUAUUAUCUGGAAUUUAAGUGCAACUUUUGACUACUGUCAUGCCACAACGUAAUGGUAAAUAGCUUAGGAAACAGCACAUCAAUCAAAGAUUUCAGUCGGUACAUCAGUCAAUUUAUUGUUUCUAAGUUUAGCUGAUAAAGACUUACUGUUUUAGUAUUUAUGCUGAAAAUUAUUGGUUUGUCACAUUAACAUUUUGCAUAUUGCUUUUAGUGUAUGUUUUAGCUAUCUUUAUAGGUAGCUUAUUUUUGCUUAUUUUCAUUCUCUAUGUGUGCAAACUUGAUCUUUGUCAGCCGAGAUGAAACCAGUGGCUCCUCAUGCCUCUUCUGUGAGAACUCUCUCCUUAUCACCCUGCAGUGGAAAGCUUUUGGUCUUGAAUUUAUACAGAAAUAUUCCAAAGGUCUUUGCUCUGCUCAUUAUCAUUUUUGGUUUACAUAGAUACAGUGUUGACAAUUAAACAUUUUGGUUUUGCUAGAACAGGGCUCUUUUCUGGAGAAAGACUAGCUUUCCAUUGCGUGGUAAUGUCUGGGAGCUCCUACCAGCCCUCUGAGCCGUGGGGUGCCGCCUCGGUCUGGGGAGCAACUACAAGUAAAAGUUCCAAAAUAGGGUGCAUAGAGUGAAGAAGGAAAAAGUGUUUGAGGUAGUCAGAUUGUCCUUCAACCUCAACAUACCCUGCAGGACCUGGCCCCAUUGCUUGGCUGGUAUAUGUGGGGUUAAGGGCAGCUCAGGCGGUCAGAUGGAUGCGUGCUGCCCUUGCUUUGGGAUUUUCCUUCUCUGCACACUUUCCUGUAGGCUUCUGCUGGGGUUUUGCGGUUUGUGGAGCACCUCCUCUGUGCUACGUCUCUUCUUCAGUCAGAUUUGGUUGAUUCUGCCCAGGGAGUACUAAUGCUGCUGCAGGAGGUAAUAGGCAGGCAGGAGUGCACUAAGCUUGUUUCCUUAGAAAGCUGGCCAAAAAAUGGAAAAGAAAAAAACAAAAAAAACCACAACUCUGUUGAACUCCAUUUUCCCAGUCUUUUGUAUGAAACCUGCCUUAAUUAAAGCUGUAAAUAAUUCAGAGCCAAGAAUUCUGCAUGUGUUAAGAGCUGAGAAGCAUUUGGGGUUGCCGUCACAUUGAUGGUUCUAGCAGUGGUGACAAAGGGGUAUGUGAGUAGCAGGCCGGGUUGGCUUCAUGUAGGAUGGUUUUAAAGGCAAACCUAUAGCUAACAGUGUGGUUUAGCAGUGUGGAAGUUUAUGUGAUAUUGAUGGAUUAAAACGUUUCAAACAGCCAUUCCAGCUAGUUCAGCGGAGGUUUUUAGGCCAGCAGGAAGGAUGUAGCAUCAGUCAUUGGCCAAAACAAUCCGUGUCACUACUGCACAAAAAUGCAAUCCUCAUGGAAAGUUUUGCUAUAGAAUGACACUCAUACUUUGCUUUUUAAAAUCUUUAUAAAUAAAGGCUUGCCAGCAUUCUUGGAAAUAUGCCAUUUUGUUGAGAAUCUACAUAGAAAGACUUUUUUUCCUAUUACAUUACAAUUCUUGGCACAGCCUGUGAAGGAAAUAAACCCAGUCAUAUUUCUUUGAUUUAGGGAGGGAGCAGAGAUGGAAGAGAAAGCCUGAAAUCCUGGGUAGUAGUGAGUAGUAUGUUUUGCCACGUUAAUCAGUCAGGGUUUUCUUACUGGAAAAUGAAGCAUUCCCGAUGUUAUUCUAAAU